rnacentral:rRNA from 1 species
AGUUUGAUCCUGGCUCAGAUUAAACGCUGGCGGCAUGCCUUACACAUGCAAGUCGAACGGCAGCACGGGAGCUUGCUCCUGGUGGCGAGUGGCGAACGGGUGAGUAAUACAUCGGAACGUACCCUGAAGUGGGGGAUAACGUAGCGAAAGUUACGCUAAUACCGCAUAUUCUGUGAGCAGGAAAGAGGGGGGAUCGCAAGACCUCUUGCUUUAGGAGCGGCCGAUGUCGGAUUAGCUAGUUGGUGAGGUAAAGGCUCACCAAGGCGACGAUCCGUAGCGGGUCUGAGAGGAUGAUCCGCCACACUGGGACUGAGACACGGCCCAGACUCCUACGGGAGGCAGCAGUGGGGAAUUUUGGACAAUGGGCGCAAGCCUGAUCCAGCCAUGCCGCGUGAGUGAAGAAGGCCUUCGGGUUGUAAAGCUCUUUCGGUGGGGAAGAAAUUGCACAGGAUAAUACCUUGUGUAGAUGACGGUACCCGCAUAAGAAGCACCGGCUAACUACGUG